UGAAACCAGGAUUAGAUACCCUAUUAUACUAAAAUAAAAUUUAAUUCUUAUUAUUAUUAGUUAUGUUCUUAAAAAUAAAAAAAUUUGGCGGUGUUUAAUUUACCUAGGGGAACCUGUUUUAUAAUCGAUAAACCACGAAAAAUCUUACUUAUUUAAAAUUUUGUAUACCGUUAUUAUUAGAUAAUUUUUAGAAAACGAAAUAUUGAAAUUUAAUUUUAAAAUAUAUUAGAUCAAGGUGCAGACAAUAAAUAAGAAAAAAUGGGUUACAAUAAAUCUGGAUUAAACGGAUACUAAAAUUGAAAAGAUUGUUGAAGGAGGACUUAUUUGUAAUUUUGCUUUAAUAAGUCAAAAUGAAAUAAACACUUAAACAUGUACAUAUCGCCCGUCGCUCGCGGGAAAA
rnacentral:rRNA from 1 species